rnacentral:lncRNA from 1 species
GCAGUUGACCUUGGGCGCAUCAAAGCCUAAUUUCAGGUUCUUCCACCGGAAGUUGGUACCUCCCGCUCUCUUGUUUACUUUGUAUACCUUUUUACGUAUUGUACCUAGCAUUCCGUGUGAGGUUUACUCUGGUGCUAUCUAGUUUGCCCCUUUUGCGUAUUUCGCUAUAAUGCGUGUGUGCGUCACUAUUCCCCAUAGUUGGUUGGAGGGAUAGUGGCCGCGGUGGGGGUUGAUAGUGUAAGGUCAUGUCCUCGGGGGGCGG